UGUAUGUAUUUGUGUGUGUAUGCAUGUGUGCAUGCACAUGUACAUAGUGUGGAAAACACACA
rnacentral:miRNA from 1 species